CAGGGAGACAAACAAUUGAUUAUGAAGACUGUUUUUUUUUCAGUCCGUAAUCCUGUCACCUUAGGUCGAUCGGUACCUCAGGUUGAGAAUCUAAGAAAUAAUGAUUAUUCAUUUAUUAGGUUUUUAAUUUCAGUUCCUAAACUUGUCUAGGUCACACCCAACAAACUUUCUUCUGGGCUAUUAGCUCAGGUGGUUAGAGCGCACCCCUGAUAAGGGUGAGGUCCCUGGUUCAAGUCCAGGAUGACCCAUUCGUUGUUGGGGGUAUAGCUCAGUUGGUAGAGCGCCUGCUUUGCAAGCAGGAUGUCAGCGGUUCGAGUCCGCUUACCUCCACUGAUCCACUGCCUAAUAACUCUUUAAUAUGAAGAUUGUUUUUAUGUGUGAUUUAGGUGUUGUUCACUGAAUGAACCUAGCUUCAUAUCAUCCUUUGAAAAUUCAAAAUUGUGGUUGAUAAGACGCUGGGCUCACUGUUUUUCUUGAAUGAAUUACAGGAAAGUUCAGUAGAACCUUGACAACUGCAUAGGUAAGUCUGGAAAGAAUAAAGCAUCUCAUGGAUGCAUAUAUUCUAUUGAUUAAGAUUAGAUCUUUUUCAAUUGAAUAAAUGUUCAAUUCUUAAACAAAGAGCCGAGAAUUAAAGUCUUUUUUCAAUGCUAUUUAAUUGAAUUUAAAUUCAAUUAGAUGUUGAGUAUUUGAGCUUAAGACUUUCUUGAUAAAUAUAU
rnacentral:tRNA from 1 species